rfam:Neotoma lepida isolate 417 scaffold_283, whole genome shotgun sequence.
GGAGAAAUGGUUCAGUGGUGAAGAGCACUGGUUGCUCCUCCAGAGGACCUGGGUUCGAUUCCCAGCACCC